CUUCCCUGGCGAGCAGUGCUUCACGCCUAGGGCCACGCAGCGUGGCUGGGAGCUUAUAGUGCCCCCGGCUCCACGAGGCGAGGACACAGGAGCCCUGGGUUUGGUGCCGGCCCGGAGCCUGCCCCACGUACCUCUUCCCGGGGCUGACAUCCAUCCCAUCUUGUUCCCUGUCACCCAGCAAGACCCUGUGUGCGACGGCGUAUGCGCAUGCUGACCCACCCGUGUCCAGUUCCGGGGCUUGCGUCUGUUUGUCUGGGGUCUUCAUCUCACCGCUGGACCCGAGUGGACCUACAGGAGGCAGGCCAGGUGCUCCCAGGAGCGUCCAUAUGAAGGAUGGCACGUGUUGGUGAUCUCUGCUGUUGGACAUGUGUUCAAGAGAACAAGCCGGGGGCCUAGGAAUGGCCCUGCUCCUAGGAUGCUCAGACGAGGAAUUUACUCUGUGACCCAGGGAGUUACUGCUAAAUCUGUGGAUAAAAUCGCCGUGGCAUCAUGAUGGUAAGAUUAUUCUUCAGAAAGAUGAACCGGAAAGUUUGUCCUGGAAGGGACGCCUGCACAUGGAAUUCCCCUUGAAGCACGAGGGACUAUAACGGGCUCUCUCUUCAAGCCUCCUGAGACUGUUUAAAGAAAAAUCCAGGAAAGCGUUUGCUUAAUUUAAAACAAGACAGGCAGAGCUUGGAGGGAACUCAGAAGCAUCUUUUGCACAAUCAGCUUUCUUGCACUUGUGGAAGGCUGAGGAAGGCCUUGAUUAUCUGAGGUCUUCCCCAGAUCAGAUCUGAGAAAAACAGGUCCCUGAAUGUUUACCAGGAAACUUGGUUUAAUGAGGCUUUUAUUGCAUAUCUGGAAGGUGUUUUCAGGUGCCCAGAGCCUUUAGAAGGGAUGUCUGAGCCCAGAAUGAGGGGCCACUCCCUGGCUGUGCUCUCUGGAGACAUCAGGCGUUUGCAUUAUCCUGGGUAUAGUUAAUCGUGCUCUGCGGAUUUUUUUACUCUUCUUGUCUUUUUCAAAUUUACCUGCUGCAUAGAAUUCUCUCACAGGGUUUAGUCAUAGAAAUCUAGGAAGCAGAGGAUUCUGAGAUGUCCUAAGGAGAUAUUUGACCACUUACAACCGCAGCCGUUUUCUGGGAUACAAUCUUUAGAUGGAGACCCUUUAUUCUCAUUUCUGUUUCCAUUUAUAGGGCAUCUCCAGAUUAUGCUAAGCACCCCAUUCAUCACUAAACCAAGAAUGUACUUCUAUCACAUUUCCACUCCACGUGGUUUGACUAUUAUUUGUGCCCACCCGGCCACCCCUGACCCUGGUAUGGACACAGCCAGGAUGGACACACUGCGAGUACCUCAUGACCUAGAGAUGCCCUUUUAAAACGAGUCUGUUUAUGUGGUUAUUAAACAUAACAUCGGGUCAAGCAUUUACGUUAUUGUGCAUGUUGGAAAUGCAGAACAAGAUAACCAACUGUUAUCUGAAAAGAAAACCUACCUCAUGUCUGGAAGCUCAGAGGCUUGUGUCCUGCCAAACGUGUCAUUGGGGCAGAUAAACAUAAAGCUGACCAUGUUGUAGAUGUCUGUUGUCACACUUUGGCCACAGAUCAGAAAACACACCACGGCAGAGGGUCGAGUACUUGCCAGGAUUGCUUCAAAGCACCAAUUACACCAUGGUUCGCCGUUGGCUUUCAAAGAGGUCACUCAACAAGCAACAUGUUUUAUUGGGAAGAGACAGAACCAGGGGACUUGGGGAGGGCAGGAUAGAAGGACAUUAGUACAAUGUGCUGGGUUUUAAGGAAGGAAGUGUUUUAGCCCUAAAUUUUACAAAGUACCGCCCUAAGCCGGCAUCUCCCUUCUACCGUGAGAUGCAUUUGGGAGCUCAUGAAUAUGUCUGAAUUCUUUAGACUCUUGUCUCAAAAGAGCAGCAGGGAUGGCGUGAUAAGAUCCCAGAGAGGAAAGCCAGGCUGGAUUACAGAAGACGUGUGUGGAAAAAUGCUUCCUAGCUCUUUACACUGUGGGGGUUUGAGGGGUGUUUCUGAGAAGGAGCUAUUUUCUUUCUCCUUGACAGUAAAUUAUGGAAAGCAGAUGUAGCAAAUGUCCACCUACCAGAAAAGCCUAUGCGAGGGGGAGUGACUCAGUUUCUCCACUGGGACACUGGUAGGAAGCGUGGCAUUUUUGCAAAAGACACACAGGUGCACGCUGACUUCUGUGUGUGGUUUCUGAAAGAUGGGGAUGGGUGCCAGCAAUAUGCCUUGGCCGUCCAGACCCUCAGCGGGGGAGGCUGGGCACACAUCUUGGCUAUUUCUCUUGCUUGAGCCCUAGGUGCCAGCCUACUGGCGUCUCCUUCACCCCAAGGCUGUUGGAGUGAAGCCAGAGUUGGACCCAUAAUCUUAACCACUGUAAACCACAAGAGAGAGACCCCCACCUGGAUCAGAGUCGUCUUAAAAGAAACAGUGUGGGCAAACCGGCCGUCCUGAAAGCGUGCGUGAGUGAAUAAGAAUGGGCGAAGCUUUUGCUCUCCAGGGACCACUGGGUAUAUUGGGUUUUCUUGUCUGUUGCUGUUCAGAGUAUGGCUCAGGCGGUGUUCCUCCCAGAGACCCCACAUCAGCUCGCCCUGGUAUGAAUGGCAUCUGGUAGGACGCUGGACAGCUGAGGUUAUGGGCCAGGAAUGGACAUCAGUACUGUCAUGAGGCUGGUUCCUUCUGAUGUGCAAAUUCUGGAGAAGCUACAGGACUCCGGUUGUGCAACUCCGUGCACCCUGGGGCUCUUCCUCGGUGUGAGGGAAAGGUCCUUUGAAGUGUGUCUACACAAAACGGACGCCUAAGCGUUGGACUCAGCCUCAUGUGCCACAGAAGCCCGUUUCUUGAAUGUGUUCCUUGACCUGGACUUGAAAACCAUUCCAUCGACAUUUCUGAUAAAACCCUUUUAUCACAGUUGGGGCUGAGAUCUGAUGCCCCGACAUGCUGCAUGGCAUGCAUCUGGUCACCUGGGACUACGUGUCCAGCUCGCUGUGCAAAAUAAAAGCAACCAGACUCUGUAAAGAUGUGUUUGUAACGGAUUGCAUGAUUCCUUAAAUGUCAGUCAUGUUCUGAUGUCUGUCUAUUCUCCUUUCUGUGGGGUUAUGUACUUGUAUCUAAGAAUAGCAUUUCAGGGUGCACGUUGGUAUCCUACAUUGGAGUCCCUUAACAAAGAUAGCUCUGCGAUUCCCACAUUCUCUCUAUGCUCUGUUUUAUUCCCCAUUCACGAGAACCUGUGCUGUCUGGAAAUGCAUGCGUUGUUACCUAAAAAUGGCCAUGCAUGUUCUCUCUAAAGCACCAGGAUUUUAGGGGAGACCUGUCAGAUGCAGGGACGUGGGGCCUGCACACUUUUUCUUGGUGGUCCCCUCUGUCCACUCUGUGAGAGUCACACCUCUGUAAAGAUCAGCUCUUCAAAGCUUUUGUUUAAGUAGAAAGAACCAACAGGAAAGAAAUUCUUCAGCAUCCACUCACCAGCAAUCUCAUUUCCUGUUUCUUUCCAGUAUUUUGAUGAACACAGUUUGUUUUUGUCCUGCAAAACCGUUUUUAAUGCAAAGCUUUGAAGAGUCGCUGAAACAAUACGUGUUACUAUUUUCUCCGUAACUGACUCGGUAGGUUUCUGCCGUAAACUUGCAUCUUUCCUUUUUAUAGUUCUAAUAGUAGUUUGCUGAGGAGGAAGUGAGCCCAAGUCUAGGAAUUACAGUAAAGGUACAAACUGUUUCUGAGAUGAACAAAAGUGCUUUAGACGAGAAAGCAUGGUAUUCCUUGCAGAGGAAACAGUCCUGAUUAGUGUGGAGUGUGCUGGAGCUAAGAACAGGAACGGUAAACUCAAUAUUGGUGACUGUCUAUUUGAGUAUUUCAGUAAUAACAUGAUUUUCAAAUAUGCUUUGUUAAGACACAUAAGAUGGAGUUGUUUCUAUUGUUCAUAGAUAUGAAUCUUUCAGGACGUCAUGAGCUUCUCUGAAUCUCAGCUUCUGUCUACUUCAAAAACAGGGACGGGCUGUAUCUAUUCAUCUAUUACACUUGUAUUAUUCUGUUUGGUCCACUGAAGAGAGGUUUCCAGUCCAAAUGACUUUAUUAAGCUUGCCAUGUAGCAACCAGCUUUUUAAAAUUUCACGCUCAUCUUCCUCUUUCAAAAACAAUGAUUUUUUUCUUGUGAUCUAAUCACUAAAGUCAGAAGACAUCAGAAAUAAAUGUGUAAACACAAAGUUCCAAAUAAAAGAUU